rnacentral:rRNA from 1 species
CCUACGGGAGGCAGCAGUGGGGAAUAUUGGGCAAUGGGCGCAAGCCUGACCCAGCAACGCCGCGUGAAGGAAGAAGGCUUUCGGGUUGUACACUUCUUUUCUCAGGGACGAAGAAAGUGACGGUACCUGAGGAAUAAGCCACGGCUAACUACGUGCCAGCAGCCGCGGUAAUACGUAGGUGGCAAGCGUUCUCCGGAUUGAUUGGGGGUAAAGGGCGUGUAGGCGGGAGCGCAAGUCAGAUGUGAAAACUCAGGGCUCAACCCUGAGCCUGCAUUUGAAACUGUGUUUCUUGAGUGCUGGGGAGGCAAUCGGAAUUCCGUGUGUAGCGGUGAAAUGCGUAGAUAUACGGAGGAACACCAGUGGCGAAGGCGGAUUGCUGGACAGUAACUGACGCUGAGGCGCGAAAGCGUGGGGAGCAAACAGGAUUAGAUACCCGUGUAGUC